UGGCAGUGGCAGUGGCAGUGGCGGUGGCGGUGGAGAGAGUUCGGAAGCUAUGAUCGCAAAUGAUCAGCUAUUACUGUACAGAGGAAUAAAGAAACCAAAGAAAGAGAGAGGCUGCACUGCCAAAGAACGCAUCAGUAAGAUGCCUCCUUGUACUGCCGGAAAACGCAGCUCCAUUUACCGUGGAGUCACCAGGCAUAGAUGGACUGGUCGAUAUGAAGCUCACCUUUGGGAUAAAAGUACAUGGAACCAGAAUCAGAAUAAGAAGGGAAAGCAAGUAUACUUGGGGGCUUAUGAUGAUGAGGAGGCUGCAGCUAGAGCAUAUGAUCUUGCUGCCUUAAAGUAUUGGGGACCUGGGACACUCAUUAAUUUUCCAGUUACUGAUUAUACCAGAGACCUUGAAGAAAUGCAGAAUGUGUCAAGAGAGGAAUACCUGGCUUCUCUUCGGAGAAAGAGUAGUGGCUUUUCAAGAGGAAUUUCUAAAUACCGUGGGCUUUCCAGGUAUGCUCUGUCCAUGAUGCUAAAAGCACACAUGCUAUCCUUUCAGGUUCCAGAGGAUUAAAUGGUACAUCUUUUUAUUUCUAGGAGUUAUAAGUUCAUGAGGAGACAUGAUUAGUGCAUUAAUGGUUUAUUGUUUUAACUUCAUCUGGAAUGCCUUAAUGACUUAUUCUAUACUUUCUCAAAGCCUUGACAAACCACUUGAUGUUGCUUAUUUUCCAAAUGUUACUAUGUAUGAAACAUCCCUAGUUAAGGAUUAGCGAUAUCCGCCUCAAAGAUGAAUCUUGGACAAAUUUUAAUGGAAUGUAAUUUAUGUUUUAGUUUGUCUUUGCCUUGAAGCUUUCUCUAUGUACUAUGGUUGUCUUGUGAUGUAUGUAUUAAUUAUUAUUGAUGUUUUAUAUCUGUAUUUUGUUCUAUACUUCUGGCUAUCGCCAAGCAGUCGAUGGGAUUCGUCAUUUGGCCGCAUGCCCGGAUCUGAAUAUUUCAGUAGCAUAAAUUAUGGUAAGGUCCAAAGUUCUAAUUUCAAGAAACCUCUUUGAUCAGCAACGAAGAAAAUUGAGCUAUGUUAAAGAAUUUUGUCAAGUCGUAUUAUUUACAAGAAUAUUAACUUUUGGGAAUUGAAGGCUUCUAUAUAUGCCUUAUUUCGCCCACCUAUUUUCCUACAGAACCAGUUCCAUUUAUCUAAUGGUGAUAUCUCAUUAUAAAGUGCAGGUGAUGACCCAGCAGCAGAAAGUGAUUAUGUUGGGAGUCUUUGUUUCGAAAGAAAGAUUGAUCUAACAAGUUACAUCAAAUGGUGGGGGUCUAAUAAAACUCGUCAAGCAGAGUCUAUCUCAAAGUCAUCAGAAGAAAUCAAACAUGGUUACGUUGAAGAUAUUGGUGAACUUAAAACAUCAGAAUGUGCCAUCCAGCCUACUGAGCCUUACCAGAUGCCUCGUUUGGGCAUGCCUGUUGAUGGAAAAAAGCAUAAAGGCUCCGCAAUCUCUGCCUUGAGCAUUUUGUCACAAUCAGCUGCAUACAAGAACUUGCAAGAGAAGGCUUCAAAAAAGCAAGAAAAUAAUACUGAUAAUGAUGAAAAUGAAAACAAAAAUACCAAUAAGACGGACUAUGGUAAAGCAGUGGAGAAGCCCACAACUCAUGAUGGCAGUAAUGAAAGACUUGGGGCUGCAUUAGGAAUGAGUGGGGGGUUGUCUCUUCAGAGAAAUGUCUACCAACUGACUCCUUUCUUGUCUGCUCCACUUCUAACCAACUACAAUACCGUUGAUCCCUUAGUAGACCCCAUCCUUUGGACAUCUCUUGUUCCUGUUCUUCCCACUGGACUUUCUCGUAAUUCUGAGGUAGAUUGAUUUUUCAAUCACAUCAUUUCUUUCUUUUAUUUAGUUGUUUUUUCUUUUGGCCUCUAUUUUCUCUCUCUCACACAUGCUAACACAUGCAUAAAACAUAGCAUGAGGCAGGAUCAAGAUUUUAUUAAGUUCAGAAAACAUUGUCAUGUGUGACUCGACUCUAUCAAUUGUUUCUUAGAUUGUUAUGCAAAUAUUUUUGAAUUUAACUGUUUUGAUUGAAUUUGAUUCAAUUAUGAGUUGAGCUAUCUGUACCUCUGUAAAGAAACAUUAUCUACAAAAUUUUGGAAUUUAAGAUGCAAGUUCUUUUGGCACAUUAUAUAUUGGCUAGCCGUUUAUAUGCAACCCAAGUGCGAAAUGAGCUGAUACCAUUUUGAUGAAAUUUCAACACAGAUAUUUAAUAAUAAAAGCAAGAAUUUAAUAUUGUAUUCUAUGAAUUGGUUUUAAAUUUCAGGUAGCUGCUUUCUUUUAAGAAUUUGAUCCCAAAUAGUGCUUUACUUUUGUGAUACUGUGGGAAGG
rnacentral:misc_RNA from 1 species